rnacentral:tRNA from 1 species
GGGCGAGUGGCGGAAUGGUAGACGCGCAAGAUUUAGGAUCUUGUGGGGGUGACCCCGUGAGAGUUCAAAUCUCUCCUCGCCCACCA